rnacentral:rRNA from 1 species
CCUACGGGCGGCAGCAGUGAGGAAUAUUGGUCAAUGGACGAGAGUCUGAACCAGCCACGUAGCGUGAAGGAUGACUGCCCUAUGGGUUGUAAACUUCUUUUAUAUGGGAAUAAAAUGUUCCACGUGUGGGAUUUUGUCUGUACCAUAUGAAUAAGGAUCGGCUAACUCCGUGCCAGCAGCCGCGGUAAUACGGAGGAUCCGAGCGUUAUCCGGAUUUAUUGGGUUUAAGGGGAGAGUAGGUGGAUUGUUAAGUCAGUUGUGAAAGGUUGCGGCUCAACCGUAAAAGUGCAGUGGAAACUGGCAGUCUUGAGUACAGUAGAGGUGAGCGGAAUUCGUGGUGUAGCGGUGAAAUGCGUAGAGAUCACGAAGAACUCCGAUUGCGAAGGCAGCUCACUGGACUGCAACUGACACUGAGGCUCGAAAGUGUGGGUAUCAAACAGGAUUAGAUACCCGUGUAGUC